AUUGAACGCUGGCGGCAGGCUUAACACAUGCAGGCCGAGCGGGGUGAUGGUGCUUGCACUAUCACUUAGCGGCGGACGGGUGAGUAAUGCUUAGGAAUCUGCCUAUUAGUGGGGGACAACAUCUCGAAAGGGAUGCUGAUACCGCAUACGUCCUACGGGAGAAAGCAGGGGAUCACUUGUGACCUUGCGCUAAUAGAUGAGCCUAAGUCGGAUUAGCUAGUUGGUGGGGUAAAGGCCUACCAAGGCGACGAUCUGUAGCGGGUCUGAGAGGAUGAUCCGCCACACUGGGACUGAGACACGGCCCAGACUCCUACGGGAGGCAGCAGUGGGGAAUAUUGGACAAUGGGGGGAACCCUGAUCCAGCCAUGCCGCGUGUGUGAAGAAGGCCUUAUGGUCGUAAAGCACUUUAAGCGAGGAGGAGGCUCUUUUGGUUAAUACCCAAGAUGAGUGGACGUUACUCGCAGAAUAAGCACCGGCUAACUCUGUGCCAGCCGCCGCCGUAA
rnacentral:rRNA from 1 species